GAUUAACGCUGGCGGCGUGCCUAACACAUGCAAGUCGAGCGGCAGCGAGUUUUACACUGAAUUCUGGAAGCUUCUAGUUGAAAGAGAAGAUUUAUUCAAGAAUUUUGUGUAAAAUGUCGGCGAGCGGCGGACGGCUGAGUAACGCGUGGGAACGUACCCCAAAGUGAGGGAUAACGCAUCGAAAGGUGUGCUAAUCCCGCAUAUGGUCUUCGGAUUAAAGCCUUCGGGCGCUUUGGGAACGGCCUGCGUAAGAUUAGAUAGUUGGUGGGGUAAUGGCCUACCAAGUCGACGAUCUGUACCUGGUUUGAGAGGAUGAGCAGUCAGACUGGAACUGAGACACGGUCCAGACUCCUACGGGAGGCAGCAGUGAGGAAUCUUCCACAAUGGGCGAAAGCCUGAUGGAGCAACGCCGCGUGCAGGAUGAAGGCCUUCGGGUUGUAAACUGCUUUUAUAAGUGAGGAUUAUGACAGUAACUUAUGAAUAAGGAUCGGCUAACUACGUG
rnacentral:rRNA from 1 species